UACGUAGGGUGCAAGCGUUGUCCGGAAUUAUUGGGCGUAAAGAGCUCGUAGGCGGUCUGUCGCGUCGGCUGUGAAAUCCCGGAGCUCAACUCCGGGUCUGCAGUCGAUACGGGCAAACUGGAGUACUGCAGGGGAGACUGGAAUUCCUGGUGUAGCGGUGAAAUGCGCAGAUAUCAGGAGGAACACCGAUGGCGAAGGCAGGUCUCUGGGCAUUAACUGACGCUGAGGAGCGAAAAGCAUGGGGGAGCGAACAGG
rnacentral:rRNA from 1 species